rnacentral:lncRNA from 1 species
AUGUCAAUUACGAACAAAGUGAGGUUUCCAAGCCCAGUAGUCUGCGGUGCUGGUCAUUGGACGUCAUCCCACGUGGACGUAAUUCAAGACAGCUGGCAUUCCAGGGUUCCGCUUACAAAGGCCUUCUCUGUGGAGACUGGCAGGCUGGCCCUGCUGGAGUGUCCGGUUCGUCUCGCCCAGCUCUGGCCCUGUGCAGAGAUUGCUUUCUACCCUGCGCUCACGGCACACCCUAGCCCAGUGCUUGCUGUUACUGAUCAGACCCUGUUUAUGAUGCUCUCUGUCAAGUGUUCCACACACAUCUGUCCUUCGAUUUCUCACAAGCUGUCACAUCCAACUCAGAAGAUACAUCUAGCUGAGCAUGGGGCUUCACGCCAGUAAUCCCAGCAUAAAGGAGGCUGAGGCAGGAGGAUUGUUGUGAAUUCAAGACCAGCCUGAACUACAGUGUGAGACCCUGUCUCAAAACAAACAAUAGGAACUAAGAACUAAAUCCUGGAGUUAGCAAUUGCAUCCUUCACCCAGAACGAUGGUCACAGCAGGACGGUGAUGUCCUCCUCUGAGCGCGGCUUUGUGCACUUCGGGCGUUCCAGCCUCACCGCCCCC